rnacentral:rRNA from 1 species
GGGUGCGAUCAUACCAGCACUAAUGCACCAGAUCCUAUCAGAACUCCGCAGUUAAGCGUGCUUGGGCGAGAGUAGUACUAGGAUGGGUGAACUACUUAAUAGUUAUAACUUCAACGAAACGGAGAGUUGCAGAAA